CCCCUGAUUUUUUAUAUAUUAUUAUUGGGCUUCGUGUAGGUAUCCUCAAUUCGCGGAAAUUCGACAGUUGUCCGGAUCUGUGAAUUUCCGGCCAGACAGACCAGCUACCGGAAAAGUCUCCGAAUUGGAUCGAGGUUUUGGCUACCCCACCAUUGUCAGGCAUCCCGAGCGCGUUCCCGAAGUCGGAAUCGGCAAAGGUGAGCCGGGACAGCCUUCUUCCUCCGCCCAGCCGCCACAGUGAUUGUCGUCAAGUCUGCCACAGGAGGAUAUUUUUUUGAGGUUAACCUGCUUUCUCCCUCGCAGGUCGAUUACUACUGUUUGUAUAAACUUGUUAAAUCUUAGAAUUUCCGCAUGUGUUAGAAAUGUUUAUUUGAUUUGGGUCUGUAAACUAAAUUAUUAUUUUUGGACAUGUAAACUUAAAUGUG